AGAGCCCAUAGGAGCCCUUUAUGUGGGAUGAAAAUGAAAAGAUUGUCUCACACUGGGCUUUGCUUUUGAACAACAUCAACAAAAUGCUAAAAUGAGAAGACCUAGAAAAGAAAGUGCAGCAAGGCAGGCAUGUGGUGUGAUGGAUAUAACUGCUUCCUUUAAAUUAAAUGGUCCUUGGUUCAAAUCCAAGAAAGUGAAAGUUUGAUGAAGAGGUGAGUAAAAAAACAAGAAAUGAAGAAAAAGAAAAACAGCUUCAGAUUGUGCCGUUUCAUGACUCCAUUUUAAAACCUCUGUUAAAUUAAAUCACUUAAAGUUAGUUACUUCAUUUCAUUAAAUAAAAUUAAACAAAUUACAGGAAUUUACAAUUAUUUUAAUGACCAAAAUUGAGUUGUAACCUCUUACAUUAGGAUACGAAGAAUUCUGUAGUCUGUGAUGUUUUGUUAAGAAUCCAGUUAGUGAUCACUCCCAUAUAAAAGAAACUAAUCCUGGACCUUAAAUCUGUCGAAUUUCCUGUCUCUUUGUUGGUUUAAUCUGUAGCCCAUGUAAUCUGACAUGAGAUUAACAUGUAGUGAGUGGCCUCAAAUGUAUUAUCACCACAGCCUUCUCCCUCCACAGCUCCUUCUAACCUGUUGGCUGCCUGUUUUUCCCCUUUAAAACAGAGAUGAAUGAUGUUAAUCAGCACACGGAGCUCUGUGCAUCCCUCAGCUCCUGCCUGCCUUGCUGUAAUAAAGCAGUCUGCCUGCCUCAGUAAUUACUCUCAUCCGUCUCAGCCAUAUGAAAGAAG